AUGGUCUUCAGAAAGUUUGUACAGAGAAGCUCAAGCUGCGAUAUCUAGGGCACCCAAUUUUUAUACUAUUUAUGUUGAAUUUGUUGUUCUUGGAAUACUUCAUUCUUUUCCAAGAUACACAUUCCCAAUCAAUUUCUUUGUUAUCCUUCUUUACUAUUUUUGAUAAUUUAUUCCUUUCGAGCUAUGCUCAGAACUAACUUUAUUCUUAU
rnacentral:lncRNA from 1 species